CUACGGGGGGCAGCAGUGAGGAAUAUUGCACAAUGGGGGGAACCCUGAUGCAGCAACGCCGCGUGGAGGAUGACGCAUUUCGGUGUGUAAACUCCUUUUAUAUGUCAAGAAAAUGACGGUAGCAUAUGAAUAAGCACCGGCUAACUCCGUGCCAGCAGCCGCGGUAAUACGGAGGGUGCAAGCGUUACUCGGAAUCACUGGGCGUAAAGGACGCGUAGGCGGGUUGGAAAGUCAGGUGUGAAAUCCUACAGCUUAACUGUAGAACUGCACUUGAAACUUCUAAUCUAGAGUAUGGGAGGGGGAGAUGGAAUUAGUGGUGUAGGGGUAAAAUCCGUAGAUAUCACUAGGAAUACCUAAAGCGAAGGCGAUCUCCUGGAACAUUACUGACACUAAGGCAUGAAAGCGUGGGGAGCAAACAGGAUUAGAUACCCGAGUAGUC
rnacentral:rRNA from 1 species